GUCAACGCCCUAAACGAUGGCAACUGGGUGUUGGGGAGCGAUUCCUCAGUACCGUAGCUAACGCGUGAAGUUGCCCGCCUGGGGAGUACGGCCGCAAGGUUAAAACUCAAAGGAAUUGACGGGGACCCGCACAAGCGGUGGAUGAUGUGGAUUAAUUCGAUGCAACGCGAACAACCUUACCUACCCUUGACAUGUCCGGAACCCCAUUGAGAGGUGGGGGUGCCCGAAAGGGAAUAGGAACACAGGUGCUGCAUGGCUGUCGU
rnacentral:rRNA from 1 species